GAUCCUAGCUCAGGAUGAACGCUAGCUACAGGCUUAACACAUGCAAGUCGAGGGGCAGCAUGAACUUAGCUUGCUAAGGCUGAUGGCGACCGGCGCACGGGUGAGUAACACGUAUCCAACCUGCCGUCUACUCUUGGCCAGCCUUCUGAAAGGAAGAUUAAUCCAGGAUGGGAUCAUGAGUUCACAUGUCCGCAUGAUUAAAGGUAUUUUCCGGUAGACGAUGGGG
rnacentral:rRNA from 1 species